AGAGUUUGAUCAUGGCUCAGGAUGAACGCUGGCGGCGUGCCUAAUACAUGCAAGUCGAACGGAGAUUGUAGCAAUACAGUCUUAGUGGCGAACGGGUGAGUAACGCGUUGGUGACCUGCCCCGAAGUGUGGGAUAACAGCCCGAAAGGGUUGCUAAUACCGCAUGUGGUUUUUCGGAUUAGAUGCCGAAUUUCUAAAGGAGAAAUUCGCUUCGGGAGGGGCCUGCGUCCCAUCAGCUAGUUGGUAGGGUAAAAGCCUACCAAGGCGAUGACGGGUAGGGGACCUGAGAGGGUGGUCCCCCACAAUGGAACUGAAACACGGUCCAUACACCUACGGGUGGCAGCAGUAGGGAAUAUUGGUUAAUGGGCGAAAGCCUGAACCAGCAACGCCGCGUGUGCGAUGACGGCCUUCGGGUUGUAAAGCACUUUUUGAGGGGAUGAGGAAGGACAGUACCCUCAGAAUAAGUCUCGGCUAACUACGUGCCAGCAGCCGCGGUAACACGUAGGAGACUAGCGUUAUUCGGAUUUACUGGGCGUAAAGCGCGUGCAGGCGGUUCGGUUAGUUGGAUGUGAAAGCUCCUGGCUUAACUGGGAGAGGUCGUUCAAUACUGCCGGACUUGAGAGUGGUAGAGGGAGUUGGAAUUCCGGGUGUAGUGGUAAAAUGCGUAGAUAUCCGGAAGAACACCAGUGGCGAAAGCGGACUCCUGGACCAUUUCUGACGCUCAGACGCGAAAGCUAGGGGAGCGAACGGGAUUAGAGACCCCGGUAGUCCUAGCUGUAAACGAUGUAGACUUGGCGUUGGAGGGGUUAAAUCCUUCAGUGCCGCAGCAAACGCGAUAAGUCUACCGCCUGGGGACUACGGCCGCAAGGUUAAAACUCAAAGGAAUUGACGG
rnacentral:rRNA from 1 species